ACACGUGAUCUCUGUGCCUCUUUGUCUACAGUUUUGGAAAAAGUAAUGUCGCCAUUGUUUUUUUCCCAAAUGUAGACAAAGCGAUGCCGUGAUGACGUUAU
rnacentral:pre_miRNA from 1 species